GUCGGAGGCCCCAAACCUCAGCCCGUGACCCCUCAUUGGAGCCUGUCUGCCUAGAACUUCUUCACCCCAUUCCUGUUCGGGGACAUGAAAGAGGAAAGAGGAAAAGAAAUCAAAACGACACAUGUUCCGGAAAGGCCAGAUUAAACCCCACAGGGGUAGCGUGGGCCAGGACAAGAAGGAAUUUCCGUGACCUUGGAGCCCAUGGACUCAAAUGUCUGACCCAUUUUUUUCCAAGGCUCUUCGCUCCGUGUGCUCACUGAUUAAGAAAAGAAACCUCAGGAGGGUUAAGCAAUGUGCCCGGGGUCACAGAUGCUGAUGCCGGCUCCGUCCGGGCCCCAAGUGGACUCUCUCUCCCGACCUGUUAAUAUCAUCCAGACGCAUUAGUAACGGCCACAUGCCGGAAGUCAGGAGUUCGGACCUUUUGCUCAG
rnacentral:lncRNA from 1 species